rnacentral:rRNA from 1 species
UACGGGGGGGGCAAGCGUUGUUCGGAAUUACUGGGCGUAAAGGGCUCGUAGGCGGCCAACUAAGUCAGACGUGAAAUCCCUCGGCUUAACCGGGGAACUGCGUCUGAUACUGGAUGGCUUGAGUUCGGGAGAGGGAUGCGGAAUUCCAGGUGUAGCGGUGAAAUGCGUAGAUAUCAGGAGGAACACCGGUGGCGAAGGCGGAUCUCUGGGCCUUACCUGACGCUCAGGCGCGAAAGCUAGGGGAGCGAACAGG